UGGGGAAUAUUGCACAAUGGGCGCAAGCCUGAUGCAGCCAUGCCGCGUGUGUGAAGAAGGCCUUCGGGUUGUAAAGCACUUUCAGCGGGGAGGAAGGCGUUAAGGUUAAUAACCUUGGCGAUUGACGUUACCCGCAGAAGAAGCACCGGCUAACUCCGUGCCAGCAGCCGCGGUAAUACGGAGGGUGCAAGCGUUAAUCGGAAUUACUGGGCGUAAAGCGCACGCAGGCGGUCUGUCAAGUCGGAUGUGAAAUCCCCGGGCUCAAACUGGGAACUGCAUUCGAAACUGGCAGGCUAGAGGCUUGUAGAGGGGGGUAGAAUUCCAGGUGUAGAGGUGAAAUGCGUAGAGAUCUGGAGGAAUACCGGUGGCGAAGGCGGCCCCCUGGACAAAGACUGACGCUCAGGUGCGAAAGCGUGGGGAGCAAACAGG
rnacentral:rRNA from 1 species